GAUGAACGCUAGCUACAGGCUUAACACAUGCAAGUCGAGGGGAAACGGCAUUAAGUGCUUGCACUUUUGGACGUCGACCGGCGCACGGGUGAGUAACGCGUAUCCAACCUUCCCAUGACUAAGGGAUAACCUGCCGAAAGGCAGACUAAUACCUUAUGGUCUUCACUGACGGCAUCAGAUGUGAAGUAAAGAUUUAUCGGGUAUGGAUGGGGAUGCGUCUGAUUAGCUUGUUGGCGGGGUAACGGCCCACCAAGGCAACGAUCAGUAGGGGUUCUGAGAGGAAGGUCCCCCACAUUGGAACUGAGACACGGUCCAAACUCCUACGGGAGGCAGCAGUGAGGAAUAUUGGUCGAUGGGCGAGAGCCUGAACCAGCCAAGUAGCGUGCAGGAUGACGGCCCUAUGGGUUGUAAACUGCUUUUGUAUGGGGAUAAAGUCAAUCACGUGUGAUUGUUUGCAGGUACCAUACGAAUAAGGGCCGGCUAAUUCCGUG
rnacentral:rRNA from 1 species